GAUGAACGCUGGCGGCGUGCCUAAUACAUGCAAGUCGAGCGAACGGACGAGAAGCUUGCUUCUCUGAUGUUAGCGGCGGACGGGUGAGUAACACGUGGAUAACCUACCUAUAAGACUGGGAUAACUUCGGGAAACCGGAGCUAAUACCGGAUAAUAUUUUGAACCGCAUGGUUCAAAAGUGAAAGACGGUCUUGCUGUCACUUAUAGAUGGAUCCGCGCUGCAUUAGCUAGUUGGUAAGGUAACGGCUUACCAAGGCAACGAUGCAUAGCCGACCUGAGAGGGUGAUCGGCCACACUGGAACUGAGACACGGUCCAGACUCCUACGGGAGGCAGCAGUAGGGAAUCUUCCGCAAUGGGCGAAGGCCUGACGGAGCAACGCCGCUUGAGUGAUGAAGGUCUUCGGAUCGUAAAACUCUGUUAUUAGGGAAGAACAUAUGUGUAAGUAACUGUGCACAUCUUGACGGUACCUAAUCAGAAAGCCACGGCUAACUACGUGCCAGCAGCCGCGGUAAUACGUAGGUGGCAAGCGUUAUCCGGAAUUAUUGGGCGUAAAGCGCGCGUAGGCGGUUUUUUAAGUCUGAUGUGAAAGCCCACGGCUCAACCGUGGAGGGUCAUUGGAAACUGGAAAACUUGAGUGCAGAAGAGGAAAGUGGAAUUCCAUGUGUAGCGGUGAAAUGCGCAGAGAUAUGGAGGAACACCAGUGGCGAAGGCGACUUUCUGGUCUGUAACUGACGCUGAUGUGCGAAAGCGUGGGGAUCAAACAGGAUUAGAUACCCUGGUAGUCCACGCCGUAAACGAUGAGUGCUAAGUGUUAGGGGGUUUCCGCCCCUUAGUGCUGCAGCUAACGCAUUAAGCACUCCGCCUGGGGAGUACGACCGCAAGGUUGAAACUCAAAGGAAUUGACGGGGACCCGCACAAGCGGUGGAGCAUGUGGUUUAAUUCGAAGCAACGCGAAGAACCUUACCAAAUCUUGACAUCCUUUGACAACUCUAGAGAUAGAGCCUUCCCCUUCGGGGGACAAAGUGACAGGUGGUGCAUGGUUGUCGUCAGCUCGUGUCGUGAGAUGUUGGGUUAAGUCCCGCAACGAGCGCAACCCUUAAGCUUAGUUGCCAUCAUUAAGUUGGGCACUCUAAGUUGACUGCCGGUGACAAACCGGAGGAAGGUGGGGAUGACGUCAAAUCAUCAUGCCCCUUAUGAUUUGGGCUACACACGUGCUACAAUGGACAAUACAAAGGGCAGCGAAACCGCGAGGUCAAGCAAAUCCCAUAAAGUUGUUCUCAGUUCGGAUUGUAGUCUGCAACUCGACUACAUGAAGCUGGAAUCGCUAGUAAUCGUAGAUCAGCAUGCUACGGUGAAUACGUUCCCGGGUCU
rnacentral:rRNA from 1 species